rnacentral:lncRNA from 1 species
GGGGAGGAGAGGAGGGGAGGAGAGGAGAGGAGGAGAGGAGGAGAGGAGAUGAGGAGAUGAGGAGAGGAGGGGAGGAGAUGAGGAGAGGAGGAGGGGAGGAGAGAGGAGGAUUCCAAAGCUUCGUUACACCUUUGGUCUUUUUAUAGCAGCGUUGAGCGUCAGAAUGGGUUUUCAGACACUAACGACCCGCUGCCAAGCGAGCCGAGCGACCGGAGAGAAUUUAGAACCCUCUGGUGUUCCCUUCUGUGAGUUUGAGUCGAGCAUUUCUGUUUCUCAUUGAGCCCGAGAGAGACACAGAAAUACACACACACACACACACACACACACACACACACACACACACACACACACACACACACACACACACACACACACACACACACACACACACACACACACACACACACACACACACACACACACACACACACACCUACAAGCUGAGCUCUAUUAGUAUUUGAUCCUGCAGGCAGACAGAGAGCUAGUUAGGCUCCUCUCUGUCUCUGUCUCCUGCUAGAUGAGCUGUGUACUUGUGUGUGUGUGUGUGUGUGUGUGUGUACAUGUGUGUGUGUGUGUGAAUGUUAACUGGAGAACAGCUACCUGGGUAGUAUGUUGUUUUUAUGAGCAGAAAUCCACAGGAAGGUGGUUUUAAUUCAACCGAAGAGAGAAUCUGACCCACAUCCACCUGAUAAUACAGUUAAAUCAGUGUUCUACUUUAUGAGUUAUUUUAACUGGAGAGACGAGUUUCUGUGAAGAUGGAUGUUGGUAAUAUGAUAUUUUUAAAAAAUGACGCAUUGGAGGCUAGACAAGUUCACUCUUCAUCAUUUUUGACUUGCAAGGUCUCCAUUUUAGUCUCAGCUGUGAUGCUGGUCGAAAAAGUUUCACAAAAAAGUGAAAUAAAACAUUUUGUUCAGAGUGAGAUUAAAGGUGACCGAAGGAGGGGGGGGGGGGAAGAGUGAGAGAUAACAGAGGAGAGGAAGAGGGAGAGAUAACAGAAGAAACGAAGAGGGAGAGAUAACAGAAGAGAGGAGAGAGGUAACAGAACAGAGGAUAGAGAGAGAGACAACAGAAGAGAGGAGGAGAGAGGUAAUAGUAGAGAGGAUAGAGAGAUAACAGAAGAAAGGAGGAGAGAGGUAACAGAAGAGAGGAGAGAGAGAUAACAGAAGAGAGGAGAGAGAGGUAACAGAAGAGAGGAGAGAGAGAUAACAGAAGAGAGGAGAGAGAGAUAACAGAAGAGAGGAGAAGAGAGUAUGUUUCUAGUCGUAGUUAGCUUGUUGGUGACCUCCUUCCAAAUACUUUUUGCACAUGUAAGGAAGUUAAAACGUAUUUUUUUCCCCCAGACACAGACUAUUUGCUUCCCAAAUGGCACCCUUUUCCCUAUGUAGUACACUUGUUUUGACCGGGACCAUACGGCUCCUGUCAAACGUAGUGCACUGUGUAGAGAAUACGAUGCCAUUUUGGGAGCGUGGAAACUGUCCCCCUCUGCUCAUUCUCUUUGACUUUUCUCCUCCCGUGUUAACAUAUCCAGUGGUUUACUGUGCUCCUCCCAUAUCCAGUGGUUUACUGUGCUCCUCCCAUAUCCAGUGGUUUACUGUGCUCCUCCCAUAUCCUGUGGUUUACUGUGCUCCUCCCAUAUCCAGUGGUUUACUGUGCUCCUCCCAUAUCCAGUGGUUUACUGUGCUCCUCCCAUAUCCAGUGGUUUACUGUGCUCCUCCCAUAUCCAGUGGUUUACUGUGCUCCUCCCAUAUCCAGUGGUUUACUGUGCUCCUCCCAUAUCCUGUGGUUUACUGUGCUCCUCCCAUAUCCAGUGGUUUACUGUGCUCCUCCCAUAUCCAGUGGUUUACUGUGCUCCUCCCAUAUCCAGUGGUUUACUGUGCUCCUCCCAUAUCCAGUGGUUUACUGUGCUCCUCCCAUAUCCAGUGGUUUACUGUGCUCCUCCCUCCCAUGUUAACAUGUCCAGUGGUCUCAAGCCUACAGUAGACAGAGGGGUGUUCGACUCUGGUGAGAUAUAAUGGGUGAUGAUUUCGAUGCAAGGUGAUCGAUAAAUUAUAAUGCGAUUUUUUUUGAGCGCUUGGAACAUUAUUGAAUAUAUUUUCUGUCCUAGUUUUUUGUCCGUAACUCACGUUGAAUUCCCCACAUUCUGAAAUUCUUUAUUUAGAAAACAUUUAUAGAAUUGUUUUUUCCCCCGGUGUAAGAAAUUAAUAUCUACUUUAUUUGAAUUCAUUAAUUAAUGAAUUAAUUAGAUAUUACAUAUAACAGAUUCAGAUAAAUAUUCCUUUCCUGUCUAAGCCACGUUCCCUGUAACAGAUCCUGUAGAGGCUGAUGGCAACAUAGUUGGGUCCCUUUUUUUAUAUUGUAUUUCUAUGUUUUCCAUCUAUCAGUUUUCCAGAGACCUUGUGAAACACGCAGCGUACUCAUAUCAGUAGGACAAUGACUGUCUGCGGGAGCAGCUACCAGUAGAGCCCUCAAAAACCGGUAGAGGAGACAGGACUGGCCCCUCCUGCACCUCGCUGGCAGAACAUGUUAUUGGACCCCCUCUUGGUUGGGGGGGGGGGCCCCUUACCGGCCUCGGGCCCUAAGCAUCUGCUUGUAUGUCUCUUAUUGGCUGGCAAGACAGAUCAGACAUGCAGGACGGAGGUUUUUGCUGUCGACCAAAGGGUUUUGAGAGAAACAAAGGAGUGUACAAAACAUGGACUUAAACAGAAACUGUCAAGAGGAAAAACUGGAAAGCUAAGCAACCUCUGGAAAAAGAGUACAAAGUUAAAGAACAAACAAAACGGUUUUUUUUUUGUACAGAGAUAUAUUUUUAUGGAAAUACAUUUGUAAUAUGAAAAGAGGAGAAAUGGAUUGACAUAUGUGUAAAUGUUUUUUUUUCUUUGUUAUUGUAGUACAGAUUCUAGUGGGGAAUAUACAAAAACAAAUCUCUCUCUCUCUCUCUAUAUAUAUAUAUAUAUAUAUAUAUAGUGUAUAUACAGAUAAAAACAGAAACAAAGAUUUUUGUAAAUGUCAAAAAUAUUGUACAUACAAGUUUCCAUACAUACUGUCCACAUCAGACCCACCAUGGCUUGUCUGCGGUAUAGAACAUGCAUUUUACCCUCCUGUAUAGGAUGAAUUGCUUUGUG